UACGUAGGUGGCAAGCGUUGUCCGGAGUUAUUGGGCGUAAAGCGCGCGCAGGCGGCUUCGCGCGCCCGACGUGAAAGCCCCCGGCUUAACCGGGGAGAGUCGUUGGGGACGGCGGAGCUUGAGGGCGGGAGAGGUCGGUGGAAUUCCCGGUGUAGUGGUGAAAUGCGUAGAGAUCGGGAGGAACACCUGUGGCGAAGGCGGCCGACUGGGCCGACCCUGACGCUGAGGCGCGAAGGCGUGGGGAGCGAACGGG
rnacentral:rRNA from 1 species